UACGUAGGGUCCGAGCGUUGUCCGGAAUUAUUGGGCGUAAAGGGCUCGUAGGCGGUUCGUCACGUCGGGAGUGAAAACUCGGAGCUUAACUCCGAGCCUGCUUCCGAUACGGGCAGACUAGAGGUAGGCAGGGGAGAGCGGAACUCCUGGUGUAGUGGUGGAAUGCGCAGAUAUCAGGAGGAACACCGGUGGCGAAGGCGGGUCUCUGGGCCGAUACUGACGCUGAGGAGCGAAAGCGUGGGGAGCGAACAGG
rnacentral:rRNA from 1 species